AGGUCCAGUGUGAAGUUUCCACAGUCAGUGAUGGUUUGAGGAGUCAUGUCAUCUGUUGGUGCUGGUCCACUGUGUUACAUCAAGUCCAAAGUCAGCGCAGCCAUCUACCAGGACAUUUUAGAGCACCUCAUGCUUCUCUUUGCUGACAUGCUUUAUGGAGAUGACAAUUUCAUUUUCCAGCAGGACUUGGCACCUGCUCACACUGCCAAAAGUACUAAUACCUGGUUUGUUGUCCAUGGUAUUACUGUG